AAAAAUAAUAAUAAAUAAAAUAUUAUGAAGAAAAAGGAUAAAAGGUAAACAGGGAGGACUGACGGUGACGGUAGGACGGUGACGGUGACUGGAGACGCGGCGGUUAGCGUAAGGGAGGGCUACACACGGUGUUUGGUUGGCAACGGGAAUGGUCGACAAUGUGGGGGGCUAGUCAUGGGGAAAACGGAGAGGGCAAAGGAGAGGGGUAGGGGCGAGGGGAUGUUUGUGUGGUGGUUAGGGAUGGCGACGAGGUUGGAGUGUAUGGGUAGAGGCUGUGAGGGGCGGACGGAUGGUUAGAGGUGGGGGCUUUGUUGUCGAAAGGGGAGAGGGAAAGGGGUACUACGACAUUGAAUGAAGAAUGGGGUGUUGGGGGUGGUAGAAAAGGGGAGAGCAAGGAAAAAGGGAAGGGAGAGUCGCGAGGGAAAGGGAGAGGGAUGAGUCGUUGGAAAAGUGGGUUGUUUAAAGGUGGUCGGUCUGGUGAGAAGGGGAUAAGCUGGGGUGGCUAGACUGGCAAUGGGAAAUGAGAACAGUGGUUCGGGAGAAAAAUAAAGAAGAAGACAAAGUGAAAGUUUUUUAGGUUUUUUGGGUUAAAAAAAAGGACACGGUUAUGUAACAGCUCGUGUUGGGUUAGAUGGAAGUAUCACAUGCUUGUGUUGGGUAUUCUCAUCCCGUGUGCAAGUCAAAAUUUUAGCUUAGUUUUUACUCAACCUCGGACACGCCCGUGUGUCCAGGCCGUGUGUCU
rnacentral:lncRNA from 1 species